AUUGAACGCUGGCGGCAGGCCUAACACAUGCAAGUCGAACGAGUGGCGGACGGGUGAGUAAUGUCUGGGAAACUGCCUGAUGGAGGGGGAUAAAUACUGGAAACGGUAGCUAAUACCGCAAACCAUCGGAUGUGCCUAGAUGGGAUUAGCUAGUGGGUGGGGUAACGGCUCACCUAGGCGAAGAUCCAUAGCUGGUCUGAGAGGAUGACCAGCCACACUGGACCUGAGACACGGUCCAGACUCCUACGGGAGGCAGCAGUGGGGAAUAUUGCACAAUGGGCGCAAGCCUGAUGCAGCCAUGCCGCGUGUAUGAAGAAGGCCUUCGGGUUGUAAAGUACUUUCAGCGGGGAGGCGUUACCCGCAGAAGAAGCACCGGCUAACUCCGUGCCAGCAGCCGCGGUAAUUC
rnacentral:rRNA from 1 species